AUUGAACGCUGGCGGCAGGCCUAACACAUGCAAGUCGAACGGUAACAGGAAGAGGCUUGCUUCUUUGCUGUCGCGAGUCGCGGGCGUGAGUAAUGUACAGGAAACUGCCUGAUGGCGGGGGAUAACUAGUGGAAACGCUUACGCAUACCGCAUAUCGUCGCUAGAGCAAAAAGCAGGACCUUCUGGCCCCUUGCCAUCUUGUGUUCCCAGAUGGGAUUAGCUAGUAGGUGGGGUAAAGGCUCACCUAGGCGACGAUCCCUAGCUGGUCUGAGAGGAUGACCAGCCACACUGGAACUGAGACACGGUCCAGACUCCUACGGGAGGCAGCAGUGGGGAAUAUUGCACAAUGGGCGCAAGCCUGAUGCAGCCAUGCCGCGUGUAUGAAGAAGGCCUUCGGGUUGUAAAGUACUUUCAGCGGGGAGGAAGAGAGUAAGGUUAAUACCUUUGCGCAUUGACGUUACCCGAAGAAGAAGCACCGGCUAACUCCGUG
rnacentral:rRNA from 1 species